GACAGAGGGUGCAAACGUUGUUCGGAAUUACUGGGCGUAAAGCGAGUGUAGGCGGUUUGGUAAGUCGGAUGUGAAAGCCCCGGGCUCAACCCGGGAAGUGCACUCGAUACUACCAAGCUAGAGUAUCGGAGAGGUUGGUGGAAUUCUCGGUGUAGAGGUGAAAUUCGUAGAUAUCGAGAGGAACACCGGCGGCGAAGGCGGCCAACUGGACGAAUACUGACGCUGAGACUCGAAAGCGUGGGGAGCAAACAGG
rnacentral:rRNA from 1 species